GAUGAACGCUGGCGGCGUGCCUAAUACAUGCAAGUCGAGCGAACAGACGAGGAGCUUGCUCCUCUGACGUUAGCGGCGGACGGGUGAGUAACACGUGGAUAACCUACCUAUAAGACUGGGAUAACUUCGGGAAACCGGAGCUAAUACCGGAUAAUAUAUUGAACCGCAUGGUUCAAUAGUGAAAGACGGUUUUGCUGUCACUUAUAGAUGGAUCCGCGCCGCAUUAGCUAGUUGGUAAGGUAACGGCUUACCAAGGCAACGAUGCGUAGCCGACCUGAGAGGGGGAUCGGCCACACUGGAACUGAGACACGGUCCAGACUCCUACGGGAGGCAGCAGUAGGGAAUCUUCCGCAAUGGGCGAAAGCCUGACGGAGCAACGCCGCGUGAGUGAUGAAGGUGUUCGGAUCGUAAAACUCUGUUAUUAGGGAAGAACCAAUGUGUAAGUAACUAUGCACGUCUUGACGGUACCUAAUCAGAAAGCCACGGCUAACUACGUG
rnacentral:rRNA from 1 species